AUAUAUCAUAAUAAAAAAUAAAUAUUAAAUAGAAGAAAACCUUCUUCAUCAUAUUGUUUGUCUAAUUAUUGCACGAACUUCACGACAGAAAGAAUAUCUAUCUGCUACUGUUUCAGUAGAUGUUUGUUCUCCAUUAAUCCAACUGCUUUCACGAACAGCAUGCUCGAAAGACAUUCCAACAACGAAACAAUAUAUUAAUGUCAAACAUUUUUCCGGUGAUAUAUGGCACCUUUCAAAAUAUGUGUUUCUACUGAAAGUUACAUUAUGAUCAUAUUUUCGGCGUUUUCGACAUCAAAAUUCUCCACAUACACCUCGAGAGUCAUCUAAAACCAUUUGCUGCUUAUGAGUAUUACAAUACCGCGAACUAGGUAUCAGUCCCAAUUCUCUCGCCCAUUGUAAUGUUGUUGCUCUAUCUUUUAAUUCUGAGCCCAGUAAAAACAAAUUCAUAUUUUCUCACAUUUUCACUGUCGCUCUUUUCAGAAAGAAAUAAUGCUUCCGUGUGAACGUUACAUAGCACACUACAUGUAAGGAAACAAACUUGUUUAUUUCAUUCAUCUAAUAAUAUGUCUUUAUUUUCCGUACCGUACAAAAAACAUCCGAGAUAAACAAUAAACACAUUAGUCAUCAUAUGUAUAUAUAUAUAUUUUAUUAUAUAUAUACCGGCAAUACAUACGAGGUGAUAUAUAUAUACAUAUAUAUUUCAUGAUCUUAGGAAUCUUCUGGUGUACUUUGAGUGCGGUUAUUCUGUACAUAUACAGAAAUCCAGCUGAAAAUAUUCAAUCACUACAUAUUACUUUAUUUGAACUUUUUAUGCCUUUAUCCUUCUUGUCGGUAAAAAUCCAUUUCAGGGUAUUCAUUUUGAGUCAUUUCAAACAUUUUCACUAAAGAAUAUGUAAAUCGAAUGUGGGAGCUUUUCGGAAGUUCAGCCAAAAAA